CUUUGGGUUAACCCACCACUAUUUCCUCAAACUCUUCAAUAUUGACUUGUGCUUUGAUUUGGGCCAUCACUUGGGAGUCUCAGUUCCUUAAGGUGACUGCUUGUUAUUCAUUUGCUCUAAUUUCAUCUCUUGUGAGCUGCCAGCUCCCCAACUAGAUAAACUGCAGACCCCACCCCCUAGUAGUCUCGUCUGUACCUCCUAGAGACAUACCUUAGAAGAGGUGUUCUGGGGCCUGGAGAGGCAUUUGGUGCCCUCACAUCUACCUGCCAUACCACAUGCAGGGCAGCCUUUAACAAAGUCCAAUCCUCAGGGUCUGUCCAAGCAAAGGGGGUGGACACAGAGAGGAGAUUAAGGACCCAGACUCUGGAGACACCUGCUUGGCUUCAAAUUCCUGUUCCACGACUUGAUGACUAUGUCUUUGGAUACCUCUCUGGUCCCUGCCAGUGCCCUGGUGGGCCUCAGUUCAUCUUGCCUGGGCAAGUCGAAGGCAGAGCCAAAGGAAACCGGAAAAAGAACUUUCAAAGGCUCAGCGCACGCCAUGACCUCGAGUCCCUCCUCAGGAUGAAGACCACUUACAGCGGGCUCUUGGAGAGCAGAGCUAUGAUGCGGAGGCCUGCCCCGGGGCUGGCUACACCAUGCUGCCUGGCAGCCUCGCUUGCCUGGCCCAUCAGGCCAAGAAGUGAAUGCUGCUUCUGGGCUCUCAGAACAGCAGCGCCUGGCAGAGUGCGUGCUUGGUGAAGGACAGUUGUAGGUGCCGCUGUGGUCGUCCUCUAACAAGGAAGGCAGAAUCUACUGUAGGAGAGGGGAACCCCACCCAGGACUAGGACCUUCCCCUGCCCACAACCUGCAGCAUCUCCAGAAGGUGGUGUUGCUCUGGCCAGAGAACUCCCUUGGUGUGGGAGCCCCGGCAAUGUGACGAAAGAACGAGGACUUCGGAAGGGCUCAUCAAAAUUUCGAAGGGCAGAGAUAACUUAGCUUGUGGCAAUGAAUCGUGUCAACAAGUUAGAACCACACCAAUUUAAAAGAACCAACCUGAAGCUCAGAACCUGGCCCCCUGCCACUUCCUCCAGAGCCAUCUAUUUUUAGGGCCUCUUAGGAUCCACCCUGUCCCCUCCAUACCACUUCUUUCCUCAUGUAACCCCCUGCCUGUCUUUUCCAACAGGCCAGAAUAGCACACCAAAAAGGGCUGCUUGUGACUGUGAGAAUCGGGUCCCUCACACAUCCAGCCAGCCGUCCCACUUUCUCUGAGCGCCUAUACUGUGCCCAGCAUGUGCCAGCCCUGGUGGCAAAGCAAGGACGAAAAGACAGACUCCAGGCCCUCAAGGAGCUUAGAGUCUUCAUUUGAA
rnacentral:lncRNA from 1 species